CAGUGAUUAGCUGAGGUGCGGCUUAGCACUACCGAUUAGCUCUAACUUUAAACACUGGGACACUUGUCAGUCCAAGUAGCCGCGACCCUAAAUCCAGAAUCCAAAUGGAUGAAUCAGUUGUUGUGAAGGACACUAUCCACACAGGCUGAACCACAAGGCAGGCUGGAUCCAUGCUUUCAUGUUGUUUGUGCCAAAUGACUCCAUCCGAAUGUUCAUCAUACCAGGCAGGUCACAACCUGCUUAUUGUCCAAUUUUGUAUCCCACUCCACCAGAAACACACACUCUGCCGUGGAGCCAAGUCCAGCAAACAGACCUGCGGGGUUUAUGACCAGCAUCCACCCAACCUGCGAAGAAGUUCACACGUAAAUCCACCGAAUGUCAGACACCACAAAGCGAUCGCAGACUGUGGCUCUGUAAACAAUGUGAGGGAAUGGCAUGAGCAUUUUGCCCUGUGCAGUCUGCCAUGGAGGAAUUUUCUCAACCAAGAUGCGACAGUGAUUGUUAUGCAUGACCACGAACGCCCUAAGUGCAACAAUCUGCUCGGCAUCUCUUAAGUAACAAGCAGCAACUUCUCUUGUUUCAUCUUUCUGCCUCUUUCCUCCUGCUUCUACCUGCCUUUUUUGCAGUCACACAUUCCACUUCUCUUACACACUUUUCUUAUCAGGUUAUCUGCCUUUUUUUUUUUUUUUUUUUAAAUGUCAAACGGUCCCAGUUGCCACUGUUGCCCUGCAUCCUCCUCUUGGCUCUGUGUUCCUGCUAAUUAUCCAAAGCUGAAUUCUUGGACUGUACAUUGCUACAUGUGGGGUUCUGAAAUAGAACUUUACACAUGACCUUCAAGCUG